CCUACGGGAGGCAGCAGUGGGGAAUAUUGGACAAUGGGCGAAAGCCUGAUCCAGCCAUGCCGCGUGUGUGAAGAAGGCCUUCGGGUUGUAAAGCACUUUCAGUGGGGAAGAAAGCCUUGGGGCUAAUACCCUCGAGGAAGGACAUCACCCACAGAAGAAGCACCGGCUAACUCCGUGCCAGCAGCCGCGGUAAUACGGAGGGUGCGAGGUUAAUCGGAAUUACUGGGCGUAAAGCGCGCGUAGGCGGUCUGAUAAGCCGGUUGUGAAAGCCCCGGGCUCAACCUGGGAACGGCAUCCGGAACUGUCAGGCUAGAGUGCAGGAGAGGAAGGUAGAAUUCCCGGUGUAGCGGUGAAAGGCGUAGAGAUCGGGAGGAAUACCAGUGGCGAAGGCGGCCUUCUGGACUGACACUGACGCUGAGGUGCGAAAGCGUGGGUAGCAAACAGGAUUAGAUACCCUGUAGUC
rnacentral:rRNA from 1 species